UACGUAGGCAGCGAGCGUUGUUCGGAGUUACGGGGCGUAAAGCGUGCGUAGGCGGUUUUGUAAGUUUGGUGUGAAAUCUCCCGGCUCAACUGGGAGGGUGCGCCGAAAACUGCAAGGCUGGAGUGUGGGAGAGGUAGGCGGAAUUCCUGGUGUAGCGGUGAAAUGCGUAGAUAUCAGGAGGAACACCUGUGGUGUAGACGGCUUACUGGACCAUGACUGACGCUGAGGCACGAAAGCGUGGGGAGCAAACAGG
rnacentral:rRNA from 1 species